CAGCCCCUGAUCAUCCUUGUGGCCUCCACCAUGAGCAGGAGCUGAAACCAUCACCCUCCAAUCCCUGCGUUUAACAGCCCUGUGGGACCUUUGUGCAGCUGGGAGUGGAGUGUUGAUGUUUCCAGCGUGCCCAUGGUGACAGGCGAUGGGAGUGGUGCCACCGAUUCUACCUGGUGUUCCAUCUGGUGUCACCCCUUCCUGCUGCGCCCUCCUGUACUCCCCUGGGCAGGGCUCUGCUAUUUAAGGGGCGACGAGGACGGUGAUCGGGGUGCUGCUGGCAGCGGUGCUUCCAGAGGGUGCUGCAGCAUCGCUUCUGACCGGCGCUUCCCUGUGUACAUCCGGCUCGGGGCCACAGAGGAUGUCGAGCCCACACCCAGGUGGACAUGGCGGGGCGCCGCCACCAGGACCACAUCACCCUGGUCCCUCCCCUCCCCACCCUGCAGGCCCCCAUGUUGGCCAUCCCUCUGGCCACCCUCCGCCUGGUCCCCACCACCCAGGGCAUCAUCACCAUGAGCACCAUCCUCCGGGACACCCUCACUGCCCUCCGAAGCACCAUUAAGAAAGAUGAGAAGGAGCUCUCCAAGCACCACAGAGGCAAGCACUCCAGCAGCUCAAGCAGCAGCCCUGACUCUGACAGAAGAGGACAUCUCCUACUCCCAUCACAUUGAAGCAAUGAGACACAAAGCCAAAUGCCUCGUGGGAACCACCUGCACCUUGCUCUACUCUUUUCCCCUUUCUCUUAGAGCUGCAUUUUGCCUGUUGAGUGAUUUUUCCUGUUUUUACCUUGUAAAUUCUUUGACCUGAACUCACUGUGAGACAAUGGGCUCUGCCUGCUGUCUUUUGGGAGAGCCCAUGGAAAGCAGGGCAGUAUCACAAUGCUGGUUUUGCAGUC